GAUGAACGCUGGCGGCGUGCCUAAUACAUGCAAGUCGAGCGAACAGACGAGGAGCUUGCUCCUCUGACGUUAGCGGCGGACGGGUGAGUCACACGUGGAUAACCUACCUAUAAGACUGGGAUAACUUCGGGAAACCGGAUCUAAUACCGGAUAAUAUAUUGAACCGCAUGGUUCAAUAGUGACAGACGGUUUUGCUGUCACUUAUAGAUGGUUCCGCGCCGCAUUAGCUAGUUGGUAAGGUGACGGCUUACCAAGGCGACGAUGCGUAGCCGACCUGAGAGGGUGAUCGGCAACACUGGAACUGAGACACGGUCCAGACUCCUACGGGAGGCAGCAGUAGGGAAUCUUCCGCAAUGGGCGAAAGCCUGACGGAGCAACGCCGCGUGAGGGAUGAAGGUCUUAGGAUCGGAAAGCUCUGUUAGUAGGGAAGAACAAAUGUUUAAGUAACUAUGCACGUCGUGACGGUACCUAAACAGAAAGCCACGGCUAACUGCGUG
rnacentral:rRNA from 1 species